GAUGAACGCUGGCGGCGUGCCUAAUACAUGCAAGUCGAGCGAACAGACGAGGAGCUUGCUCCUCUGACGUUAGCGGCGGACGGGUGAGUAACACGUGGAUAACCUACCUAUAAGACUGGGAUAACUUCGGGAAACCGGAGCUAAUACCGGAUAAUAUAUUGAACCGCAUGGUUCAAUAGUGAAAGACGGUUUUGCUGUCACUUAUAGAUGGAUCCGCGCCGCAUUAGCUAGUUGGUAAGGUAACGGCUUACCAAGGCAACGAUGCGUAGCCGACCGGAGAGGGUGAUCGGCCACACUGGAACGGAGCAACGGCCCAGACGCCUACGGGAGGCAGCAGUAGGGAAUCUUCCGCAAUGGGCGAAAGCCUGACGGAGCAACGCCGCGUGAGUGAUGAAGGUCUUCGGAUCGUAAAACUCUGUUAUUAGGGAAGAACAAAUGUGUAAGUAACUAUGCACGUCUUGACGGUACCUAAUCAGAAAGCCACGGCUAACUACGUG
rnacentral:rRNA from 1 species